rnacentral:rRNA from 1 species
UUCGCAAUGCCCGAAAGGGUGACGAAGCGACGCCGCGUGCGGGAGGAAGGCCUUCGGGUUGUAAACCGCUGUCGGGAGUUAAGAAAUGCAAGGAUGUUAAUAGCGUUCUUGCUUGACUAAGGCUCCGGAGGAAGCCACGGCUAACUCUGUGCCAACAGCCGCGGUAAUACAGAGGCGGCAAGCGUUGUUCGGAAUUAUUGGGCGUAAAGAGCACGUAGGCGGCUGUGUAAGUCGGUUGUGAAAGCCUUCCGCUCAACGGAAGAACGGCAUCCGAUACUGCAUGGCUUGAGUGUGGGAGGGGAGAGUGGAACUUCUGGUGGAGCGGUGAAAUGCGUAGAUAUCAGAAGGAACGCCGGCGGCGAAAGCGGCUCUCUGGCCCAUAACUGACGCUGAGUGUGCGAAAGCUAGGGGAGCAAACGGGAUUAGAUACCCCGGUAGUCCUAGCCGUAAACGAUGGGCACUAAGUAGAGGGGUUUU